GCCCGCCUCACGGCCGCCGGGGGGCUUCUGCCCCCGGGCCCGCGCCUGCCGGAGACAAUCUUGAACGCUGUCUGAAGAAUGCAGUCUGAGCGAUUAAGCAAAAUUAGUUAAAACUUUCAACAACGGAUCUCUUGGUUCCGGCAUCGAUGAAGAACGCAGCGAAAUGCGAUAAUUAAUGUGAAUUGCAGAAUUCAGUGAAUCAUCGAGUCUUUGAACGCACAUUGCGCCCCCUGGUAUUCCGGGGGGCAUGCCUGUCCGAGCGUCAUUGCUGCCCUCAAGCCCGGCUUGUUUGUUGGGUCUUGUUCCUCCGGGAACAGGCCCGAAAGGCAGUGGCGGCACCGUCCGAUCCUCGAGCGUAUGGGGCUUUGUCACCCGCUCUGUAGGCCCGGCCGGCGCUUGCCGACCCCCAUCAAUCUUUUUUCAGGUUGACCUCGGAUCAGGUAGGGAUACCCGCUGAACUUAAGCAUAUCAAUAAGCGGAGGAA
rnacentral:rRNA from 1 species